rnacentral:misc_RNA from 1 species
GUGAGUCAUCGAAUCUUUGAACGCACAUUGCGCUUCCUGGUAUUCCGGGGAGCAUGCUCGUUUCAGAAUCAUUACAACCUCACCAGCUGUCUGUGUUCUCGCAACGCAGACAGACGAGUGGACUUGGGCGUUUUGUUCCUGCCAAGGACAAUCGCCUUCAAAUGAUUGUGUGUGUACGUCGGUGUUCUCGCAGUCGAAUCAUCUCAACUCAGCGCAACAGAUGAAAAUGAAACGCUUUGUUGAGUGGCUGCUGAGAUUCAACGUGCAUGCCUUUACCAACACACAGGGCGGAGCGCAAGG